UGUUGAAACUAUGCCUCCAAAAUCAGUGAGAAAGACGCCUUCAGGUUCUGGAUCCAAAAGAGGUGGUCGUACACCUCGUGGCACGCCAAAGUCUCAGGCAAAGCCUGUUAAGGUAGAGGAACCAAUGGAAGUAGAUAAGGCGGUGGAGCUCAAACAAGAAAUGAAGGUGGAGGAGACAUCUGAAGAAAAGCCUGAGCUGAAAACCAUGCAAUCGGAGCCUGAGGAACCGGCUGAAACUGCAUUGAAUGUGAACGCUGUGGAGAAGGGGGCGGUUUCAGAGAAGAAGAAGGACGAUUUGAAAGAGUCAGUCAAUCACUAUGAAAAGGGCGAGCGAUUAGAUUUGGAGGAUAAUGACCCUGAAUAUGAACCUGAAGAGUAUGGCACAGUUGAUUAUGAUGAGACUGGGAUUGAACCUGAUGGUGUUCAGGAAGAGAGAAAUGAAAUAGAGGAAGAACCUGAAGAGGCAGAUGUUGGUGAAGAGGAAGAGGGUGAUAUGGGGGAAGAGGAUGUUGAAGAUGUUCAUGAGGAAAAUGAGGGUGAUGAAGAAGAUGAGCAUGCUGAGAUGGCUGAUGCAGCAGAGGAGGAAGAACAUCAUGAAGUUGUUGAAGAAAGGCGUAAGCGGAAGGAAUUUGAAAUAUUUGUUGGUGGCCUGGACAAGGAUGCUACCGAGGAGGAUCUCAGGAAGGUCUUCAGUAAAGUUGGCGAGAUUACUGAAGUGAGGCUUCUGAUGAAUUCUCAGACAAAGAAGAAUAAAGGAUUUGCAUUCCUGCGAUUUGCCACUGUUGAACAAGCAAAAAGAGCUUGUACUGAGCUGAAAAAUCCAGUGAUCAAUGGAAAACAAUGUGGUGUCUCUCCAAGUCAAGACAAUGAUACUCUGUUUUUGGGUAACAUAUGCAAGACCUGGACAAAAGAAGCUUUAAAAGAGAAGCUGAAGCAUUAUGGUGUUGACAAUAUAGAGGAUUUGACGUUGGUUGAAGACACUAAUAAUGAGGGAAUGAAUCGAGGAUUUGCUUUCUUGGAGUUCUCUUCACGUUCAGAGGCCAUGGAUGCUUUUAAGCGGUUACAGAAGAGAGAUGUUGUAUUUGGAGUUGAUAGGCCUGCAAAGGUUUCUUUUGAGGAUUCAUUCAUUGAUCCUGGGGAUGAAAUCAUGUCACAGGUUAAAACAGUGUUUAUUGAUGGUCUUGCUGUAUCCUGGAACGAGGACCAUGUGCGGGAACUUCUUAAAGAAUAUGGAAAGAUUAGAAAAGUUGAGCUUGCCAGAAAUAGGCCUUCAGCCAAGAGAAAGGACUUUGGAUUUGUCACCUUUGACACUCAUGAGGCUGCAGUUACAUGUGCUAAAAGCAUUAAUAAUGAGGAAUUGGGUGAAGGAGAUAACAAGGUUAAAGUAAGGGCCAGACUAUCGAGACCCCUGCAUAUGGGUAGAGGGAAAUACGGUGGACGAGGAGAGUUCCGACCUUGGCGUAUGCCUAUGCAUGGUUCCCAUUCCCCUUGGGGUCGUACAGCGCCAUAUAGUCGUUCUAUCCGAGGGACUAGAGUUAGUACGCGUAUGCCUCCCGUAGUUGGUCGUGGUUUCAAACGACCUGCAGCAUUGAGAGAUAGACAAGCAGAGAUGGCUUCGUCUCCUAGGGGAAGAUCCAUGGCUUCACCACCCAGGAGGUCAUAUGACCGGAGACCACCUGUUUCCUCAUAUCCAAAGAGUAGCUUCAAGAGGGAGUAUGGACGGCGUGAGGAAAUCUCUCCUUCUAGAAGCAGAGCAAUAGCUGAGUAUCCUUCGAGGGUUCAUUCUGACAGACGUAUAUCCUAUAGGGAUGAAUAUUCUUCGCGUGGCUCUGGUUACCCUGAAUUACCUAGAGGUACUCACUCUGCAGCAAGGAGAGGUUAUGUUGAUGAUGGAUAUGGGCAACGGUUUGAAAGACCCCCUCCAUCUUACCGUGAGGGACGUGGUCGUGAAUAUGAUUCUGUCUCUGGUUCGAAACGUCCAUACACUGCAGUGGAUGAUGUUCAUCCACACUACGCUGAGGCAGGAGUGCGGCAUUCGCGUGCUCGUUUGGAUUAUGAAUUAGGCAGUGGAAGUGGCUCCCAUUAUGGAGAUGCAUAUGGUGACAGUAGACUCGGGAGAUCAAAUCUUGGAUAUGGCGGCAACAGGAGCUCCAUUUCUAGGCAAGAUUCCCAUGGGAUAUACAGCAGUCGUCAGGGUAUGGGCUAUGGUGGAGGUUCCUAUGGUGGAAGUGAUGUAGGUGGAAUGUAUUCGUCUAGCUAUGGUGGUGACUACAUGUCUCGUGGCAGUGAUGUUGGCUCCUCGGUUUAUUCUAGUCAUGGUAUGGGUGGCAGUGGCUAUAUGGGAAGUGGUGGUUCUGGAUCUUACUACUAAGGUAUGUCACUUGUUAUUACUAACCAUGUGUGGUUUAUUUGGCAGUCAUGCUCUUAGGAACUGAGCAUCUUAUAUUCCCCUGUCCCCUGUUUAAAGAUUUGAGUUGACAAAAGCGCCUGCAGUUGGAUGAGUUAAUGUGGAAGCCCUAUGCACUGACAUGCCUCUUGGAGAGAUGGAGUUUAUGUAUUAGUACUUGUUUGUAUAUGUAGGGCUAGGGAAUUUAGCAUUAGAGGUUGCAUUGCUCUUGGAUUCUAAUUGGGAAAAGAGACACGUGUCCCCUCUUUUGAUGUAAGGAAAUUUGAGCUAUGUACAGCAAACUGAGAUCUGGUGUCAUUUUGCUAUA